AAGAAAUCAACCGAGAUUCCCCCAGUAGCGGCGAGCGAACGGGGAGCAGCCCAGAGCCUGAAUCAGUGUGUGUGUUAGUGGAAGCGUCUGGAAAGGCGUGCGAUACAGGGUGACAGCCCCGUACACAAAAAUGCACAUACUGUGAGCUCGAUGAGUAGGGCGGGACACGUGGUAUCCUGUCUGAAUAUGGGGGGACCAUCCUCCAAGGCUAAAUACUCCUGACUGACCGAUAGUGAACCAGUACCGUGAGGGAAAGGCGAAAAGAACCCCGGCGAGG
rnacentral:rRNA from 1 species